rnacentral:rRNA from 1 species
AUGGCGGCGGCGAGCCUGAGGAAGGGGAACGCGAGGCUGCCGCCGGAGGUGAACAGGGCGCUGUUCGUGCGGAACCUGCCGUUCAACAUCUCGAGCGAGGAGAUGUACGACAUCUUCGGCAAGUACGGGGCGAUCCGGCAGAUCCGACUGGGCAACGCCAAGGACACGCGGGGGACGGCGUACGUGGUGUACGAGGACAUCUACGACGCCAAGAACGCCGUCGACCACCUCUCGGGCUUCAACGUCGCCAACCGCUACCUCAUCGUGCUCUACUCGCAGCUCAACAGGAUGUCCAAGAAGACGGACAUCAAGAAGAAGGAGGACGAGAUCACCAGGCUCCAGGAGAAGUACGGCGUCGGAUCCAAGACCCCCUCCGCCAACGACGCCUGA